GCUUAGCUGACGAGUCUCAAAUAGGACGAAACGCACGUUCUAGAU
rnacentral:hammerhead_ribozyme from 1 species